UACCCGCUGAACUUAAG
rnacentral:rRNA from 1 species